AUGAAGUAGUCUUGUGAUUUUUCCCACACAUACAUACAUACAUAUACAUAUAUAUAUAUAUAUAUAUGUAUAAUUAUAUAUAUAUAUGUAUAGAUGUAUAUAUCUAUAGAUAUAUAUGUACAUAUAUAUAAUGUAGUAACACACACCUUCAUAACAAUAUACACACUGCAAGUAUAUAUAUAUACAUAUACAUAUAUAUAUAUAUAUAUAUAUAUAUAUAUAUAUACAUAUAUAUAUAAAAUGUAGUAACAGAUAUCUUCAUAACAAUAUGUAAUAUGUACAAUGUUUACCAUAUUUGGUCGUUUUAGUCAAUCUCAGGACUUCCUUCCUCGGCCCAUUUAUUUCCGUUUCCAUAGCGGCGCGCUUCCGACGUCCGCCAGCAAACGUGUGUUCCUACUUCUGGAUACAAAUGGAAGUGUGUUCCAAUCAUGGCAGACUUAGUAAUAAACAUCAAAGACGACUAUUUUUGGACAAAUGAGGAUUACUUUUUGAAGCUGCAUAUACUGAGGAUGAACUGCUGCUUAUAGAAGCGAGCACAAAGGAAGGGUGAAACACUGGAAGCGCAGAAAGUGAGGUCGGCGCGACAUGGUCACACUGCAAAUCUACAACUUUGAGCCAAGCUUUGUUGAAAUAAUGGAGUGCUUACCCAAAUCAACCGGAAACGUCCCCGGCUGGGUGGACCAAACGGACAACUGUCCAUCGAGUGAGUCACUAUAUUAUUGAUCAUGGUACACGCAGCACAUCACCGUACACCACACUGUCGAGCUAGCUGUGUAAAAAACAAAACAUGAAAUGUAGGCUAAUACUUUUUAGAUCGUCUAAUAUGAUUGUUCAUGUUUUUACGUCAGUACAGGUUGUUGUCUUAUCGUAUCCCAAUGAUUUAUUACAAAUUCAAACGCGAUUCGGUUGCUGGAGUAGUAGCUAGCUUAUCUCGUUCCGUAACUAACUUUAACAGCUAAUAACAUACUACGCUAGAAAAAGAAUUCUUCAAUAUUCGCUCUUACAAUAAUGUUGCUACAGCUUGGUUAUUAUACGAAAUAUAACAAAGUGUUGUUGACGAUUUAUUUAGAGGUGGAAUUGAUUGCUCCCAAUAGCUGCAAUGCUGGCCGCCAAGAACGAGACGAUUUUUUAGAUGUUAGAAUUUAAAAUGCAAAAAAAAACAUUUUGUCUUCUUGUCUCUUAAAAAAAAUUGUGAAAAAUAGGUGAAAAUUCCGAAUUAAGUUGCCUUUGAAGUUCACAAAACGGUGUCAGUUUGUGUUCAAUGUUUAUUUUUUCCAGUCGGUUCUUUAGAUUUAAAACCCUUUUUUUUGGGUGAAAUGAUGUUUCCUCCACAUGUUUCCAUGCAGCCUAUUUAAUUCGUGUAAGAAUGUAUUUAUGGCAAGAGUUUACUAGACAAAUUAAGGGUGAUUGGGGCGUGGUUAUGCUUUUCAUGUUUUUAGAAAGAGGCUUCAAGCUGUUUUCAGGACUUCCUCUUUUUUUUGUAUUCAUUUAUGGACGUUUCACAUCAUCUCACAUUGUUUUCUGUAACACAAUAGAGUGGUUAAAAGGUCUAUUUUGAAAAAAAGAAUAUCUAUUUUUACAGGUCCGAAAUGCCAUUAGUCUAUAUUUACAGUUUAAAUUCACGAGUGCCUCUUUUGAAAGAGCUGCAUUGGUCUGAUUUGAUUCAGUCAUGGAUAAACUUUUGAAAUAUUUGGAUGUUAAUUUUGUAUUUUUUUUAAAAGCUUAAAUUCAGCGUUUACCAAAGGAAAACAUCUGCUGACGAAUGUUAAAACAUGCUAAAAACAUUUAAAGAAAAACAAUCAUAGCUCAUAUUUUUUGUGAUAAAUUAUUCAAUAUA